rnacentral:rRNA from 1 species
GCUGAACCCUUUCUUCUUUCCUAAUACAUGCAAGUCGAGCGAACGGACGAGAAGCUUGCUUCUCUGAUGUUAGCGGCGGACGGGUGAGUAACACGUGGAUAACCUACCUAUAAGACUGGGAUAACUUCGGGAAACCGGAGCUAAUACCGGAUAAUAUUUUGAACCGCAUGGUUCAAAAGUGAAAGACGGUCUUGCUGUCACUUAUAGAUGGAUCCGCGCUGCAUUAGCUAGUUGGUAAGGUAACGGCUUACCAAGGCAACGAUGCAUAGCCGACCUGAGAGGGUGAUCGGCCACACUGGAACUGAGACACGGUCCAGACUCCUACGGGAGGCAGCAGUAGGGAAUCUUCCGCAAAGGGCGAAAGCCUGACGGAGCAACGCCGCGUGAGUGAUGAAGGUCUUCGGAUCGUAAAACUCUGUUAUUAGGGAAGGACAUAUGUGUAAGUAACUGUGCACAUCUUGACGGUACCUAAUCAGAAAGCCACGGCUAACUACGUG